GCUGUGAAAUCUUGGGUAGAGACAGGGGAGCCCCUGGGGAGAGUGAACUACAGAAAAGGAGGAAGAGAAUACUUCCUCAUAGUUGAUCGUUUUAUAAUUCCCAAGAAGAAACAUUUAAAGCAUGAACACUUCACCUAAAUGUCAGGGUUUUGCUGUAAUUUGAACAAUCCAAAAGUAAUCUGACACUCUUGUUUACUUUUUAUUUAAUAGUCCAGCAGAGAUAAAUCAUUUCUCAACAGAGUCAUUGAGUUGCAUGUUGACCCAGAACUCAGUCUAAAUACAGCCCUUAUCUAAAACUGUGAAACAUCAGAAGGGGAAGCCGACUCAACUUGUUCUCUGGCAAACUCCUGCCACCUUGUUUUAACAUCCCACUGUGUUAAAGAACGGCAGACCCUGAUGUUUUGAUUCAGUAUCACACUCUCAGUUGGAUAAUCCUCUUUCUCCCUCCUCUGCCCUCACAUAUAAUGCUUUCUUUCUCUUCCACAAUGUAAAUAACCUACUCUGCAGUCUGGUUACUUGAAUGGAUGUUUGUUUCAGAGACUUUAAGCUUUCUGAGGGCAGGGACCUUAUUUUAUUCAUUCAUUCUUCUAUUAAUUUAUUUAUGUAGGGAAUGUUUAUUGUGGAAUGAUGAUUCAUUCCUGCUUUCAAGGAUCUGAUUAUCUAGUAGAAGAGGAAAAAUCAUAUAUCAGUUUGUAAAGAACGUGUAACCUUAACAUUGAGUCCUGGCAAAACGUUGUGAGCACAGAGAAGAAAGCAUCGCCUUGGCCCCUCCUGCACCUGUAUCCUAAUUUGUCUUCCUGCUUCUAUACCUGACCCCCUAAAACCCAAUGUGCACUCAACAGCCAGAGAGGUUUAUUAAACUAUAUUAGAUUCUAUCAGUCCUCUGCUUUAAAUUUUCAAUUUAAACUUCUUACAGGCCUUACAAAGCCAGUGGGGUCUGGUGGCUGCCUUGCCCUCUGGCAGCACCUCAGUCACGCUGGCUUCUUUCAGUUCUUGGGAACCAGGCUUGCUCUCUAGCUUAGCGCCUUUGAAUGAAUGGUUCCUGGCUCUGCACAACUGGCUCCUUCUUGUCAUUCAGAGUUCAGCUUAAGUGACUGGAUUCCUGACAUCCAGUGUCACUGAAUGUCAUAUGGCCUGCCUAACCCUAACCAUAAUGAGUUAGCAACUCCCCUCCUGCCUUCUUCUUUCCUUCCUCCCACUGCCCUUCCCUUGCUCCCUUACUUCUUUCCUUCCUUCCCUCCCUCAUCCAUGCUUUCUUUUUUUUCUUUCAUAACUUUGUCUCUCUUUCUGCAGUAAAAUGAAAGUUUCAUCAGAACAGUGACCUUCUUCCCUCUCCCAUCUCCCCGUUUCUGCCUCAUAAUAAGUGUUCAGUAAAUACUCUUUGAGUGUAUGAACAGAUGAAUAGAAUUCUGAAUGCUACAAGCACUCCCUGGGUGGAACAGAGGGGGAGAAAAGAGAAAAGAGCACCUUAUUCAAAGACACAUAACAAGGGACUUCCCUGGUGGUGCAGUGUUUAAGAAUCCUCCUGCCAAUGCAGGGGACACAGGUUCGAGCCCUGAUCCGGGAAGAUCCCACAUGUCAUGAAGCAACUGAGCCUGUGCGCCACAGCUACUGAGCCUGUGCUCUACAGCCCAUGAGCCACAACUACUGAAGCCCGCGCGCCUAGAGGCUGUGCUCUGCAACAAGAGAAGCCACUGCAAUGGGAAGCCUGCGCACUGCAACGAAGAGUAGCCCCUGCUCGCCGCAACUAGAGAAAGCCCAUGUGCAGCAACGAAGACCCAACACAGCCAAAAAUAAAUACAUUUAUUAAAAAAAAAAAAGACACAUAACAAGGACCAAGCGCGCCAAAAGUAUUCAGGCACGGUCAGAACACAGGGUAUGAGCUGAGCUUGGAGAGAGCAGGAAAAUAAAAGGAGGUGAGAACUGAAAGGUUAUAUAUAAUAACACACAGGAAUGCCGACUUCUGCCACUUUCUGACAGCAGGAAGAGAGGGAAGUGGCCUUGACGAAAGAUACUGACAAAUUUGGUCUGCUGUAAUGACUUAUUUCAGAGUUUUAACUUGAAUUGGAAAUGUACUACUGAACUUGGCCAGUUGUGAGAAACAUCUGUAUAAUCAUUUUGUGUCACUUAUUCAUUUGACUCUUCAAAUCACUGUAAGCAGCAGCUUCAUUUAUGAUUUUUUUUGUUUUUGCUUGAGCUUUGUUUAUUAUUUGUGAGGUUUCAAAACACUUUGGGGAGACAGUGAAAAGGCUUUCAUUCAUUUUGAUAACUUCCUCAUUUGUAAAAUGGGAACAAUAAUAAUGCUUAUCUCAAAGAGUAUUUGUAAGACUUAAGUGACUUAAAAUAUAUAAAGUGCUUAGGGCAGUUCUUAAUGUAAUAAUUGUUAGCCUUUAUCAUCAUGAUAAUCAUUUGCUGCUCUCAUGAAGAGAAACAUAAUGUAACUUUAUUGAAGCAAUUUUACACUAGGUUCAAAACACUGCUGUAGAUGUGUUUACAUUUUGCUGGAGAGACACUGCCGUUUUGCAUUGUGAAGGCGUUGCUUGAUAAUGAUGAUUGAUAUCAUUUCUUGCGUGUUUUUUAAACAGAGUAUAAAUGAGGACCACUCAAUUAACUGUGUCAAGCCCACUGUUUAAGAACAGUGCGAGGGCCAGAAUAUACCAGGCAGAUACUGCAUAAAAGUGAAAAGAGAAAUCUCAACAGAAACAGUGCUCUCUAGGAUGAAUAGAGCAUGUUUUCCUGGCAGCCGGGUCCUGACGUUUUAAUCCAUUUGGCGAGCCCACCGUAGUGGCCCAGACUCUGUCUGUGGCUCUAGCCCUGCUCCCCAAGAUUCUAGGCUCCUUGUGGCCUGUGGUUCUGCAACUCAGCUGGUCGGGAGGGCAGGAAGGAAGGGUGGACCCGCUUGACAUUUCCUGUCUUGCUGUGAGUCACUGAUACCAAGUACUUUUCUUGCACUUCUCUGCCUACUAUCCGGAGAGCAGGAAUGCAGCCACAAAAGUCAAACCGGAACCAUCCUCUGCAUCAUGAUAACGGCUCUCACACGGUAAACUAGUGUGGUCUGCACCGACAUCAGGGGGCACACCCUCCCUGUGCAGGCAAGGAACUGAAGGAUGGGCUCGCCAUUACAUUAUCCUUUGUGAGAAGAGGAUGGUGACACUUAGGAGAAAGAAAAUCCUCCUGUAUCACUUUGGUGCAGUGGAAAGGAGUCUCAUUUUGGAGAAGGAAGACAAAAUUUCCAGUUCUGACUCGGCUGGGAAAGAUUGUAAGCCCGUCUCACACCUGCUUCCCUUCUACUCCCUGCCUGCCUGCCUGCAUUGCCAACAAACUGAAGUUGAAUAUGGGGUUUUAAGAUUCCUAAGACAUGCAGAGGGAGCUUGAAAAUUACACGGAGGAGGACAUAUGAAGACAGAGGCACAGAUUGGAGUGAAGAAGCCACAAGCCAAAGAAUGCCUGUAGCCACCAGAAGCUGGAAAAGGCAGAGAUUUCCCUCUGGAGCCUCCAGAGGAAGUGCAGCCCUGUGACACCUUGAUUUUGACCCAGUGAUGUCAGUUUUUGAACUUCUAGCCUCCAGAACUGUAAGAGAAUGAAUUUCUGUUGUUUUAAGCCACCCAGUUUUGGUAAUUGGUUAUAGCAGCCACAGGAAUCUAAAACAUACAGACUUUUACAGUGGCAGAUUUUCACCCCAUCUCUUUAAUGUUGCAGGUAGUUCUGAUGUUUUCACAAAAAAACCCUGGAGAGGAAUAGUCCUAUGAGUUGAACUACAAGAAUUCUAUAUAUAGGGAGAUAUAAAGAACUAGAAAAGGAAUGUUGCUGACAUGAUGAUUCAAUAGAAAUGGUAUCCAAUUGCAUAAGUUAUUGCAUUAGCCUUUAAGGUUUCUGUAAGGCCAAGAAGAAACUUCAUAAAUAUUAGAGAAAUAAACACUGAUUUGAGUAUUUUAAUCUUCUUCCCUUUAAUUACUUAAAAAAAUUAUUUUUCAAACUAUAAGGAUAGCAUAAUCACAUUGAGUAACCUUUGCAAAAUAGGCAGGAACAAAUUCACAUAAAAUCCUCAAUACAACUACUGUCAUUGCUUUGUUACAAUCGCUUACAUUCACUUUCUCCUUUUAAAUGCUAGUAGUCAUUUAAUGCCUACACUAUUGUAUACUGAAUUUUUUCACUUAAUAAAUAGGCAACUUUUGCUAUUGUUACUUAGUCUUUAUAACUGUUUUUUUAAAAGAUAAAACUGAGCACGGGCUCAGUAGCUGUGGCUCACGGGCUUAGUUGCUCUGUGGCAUGUGGGAUCUUCCUGGACCAGGGAUCGAACCCAUGUCCCCCGCAUCGGCAGGUGGAUUCUUAACCACUGCGCCACCAAGGAAGCCCAGGGCUGGAUAAUUCUCUGUUGUUGGGGGCUGUCUUAUGCAAUGGAGAAUGUUUAGCAGCGUCCUGGUUUCUAUUCCACUUGAUGCCGUAGCUUUCCCCUCACACAGUUGUGACAACCAGAAAUGUUUCCAGACAUUGCCAAAUGCGACCUGGCAGGCAAAAUAUCACCUUGUUGAUAAUCAUUGUGAUAGAAGCUAAGUUCAAUCAUUGGACAAUCCAAUACUAAAAUCCAAGUUUGGUGCUUUUUAUCCACUUUUAAUGGUCUUGUUCCACCAUUUCUAUGGAAACUUUUGAACUCAUGGUAGUAAGAUGGCUGCUGCAUCUCCAAGUGUCACAUAUACAUUUCUGGCAGGAGAAGAUUAACAAGUAAUGAGAGGCAAGAACACUCCUCCCAAAGAGGCCAUCUUUUUAUUGAGAAGGGAUGCCCUCCCUAGUGACUCUACCUACAUAUUAUUGGUCAGAAGUGUAUCACACGGCCACCUCUAGUCAUGGUAAAAGCUAGGAGAUCAAAUUAUUAGCUUUAACAGCGUCUGUAGUAGAGCAGGAAGAAGGGUAUAUGUGAAUGUUUUUUGAAUAGCCCGUCCAUAACAUUUGCUAAAUUUCCCAUUCUAGUUCACUUACUUCCCUGUGGCAGAUGGGAUGGGCAAGAAUUUGGAAGCUGCUCAAGAUGUUUAGUCAUAUAUAUGUGAAGUCUUACUGUGCUGUGAUUCAUUAUCUAGAAAGUGCUUCAUGAAAUCCUUUCCAGCUGAUUGAUUUGGUGAUUUUUUAAAAAUUCUGUUUUCUCUGAAUUAGGAAAGUGUAUUCAGUCAUGGACAAGUAGUGUCAUUGAAAGGACCCAGUUAAUUUCAGCUAGAAAGGUCACUACUUCAAACGAGCAGUGCUUUUACCAGCUGUAAUAAACAUGCCUGUCAAUUCGUAUCACCCACAGGCCAAUGUUCAGAAGACCCGUAUCGGUUUCCUUUCCCACCCAGCAAUAGUCAGCAGUGUCCCCAAGUGCUAGGUACCAGCUGCAUCUGAAGAUGUAGAGGAUGUGGGUACAUCAGACACAUAAUAAGGACGCAAUACAAGCAGCAGAACAAAUCACUACCUAAAAGCAGAACCGUUUGCUUAUAUCCCAAGUAACUGAGAAAUUUUAAUUAUGCACUUUUUAAUUUUUCCAUUCAAAGAAACAUGCCCCUGCCCAAGUGCUGGGGUUGAACUGUAUCUCCCCAAAAGAUACAUUGAAGUCCUAGCCCUGAGUAUCUGUGACCUUAUUUUGAAAUAGUGUCUUUGCAGAUGUAAUCAAGUGAAUAUGGGGUCACUAGGGUGGGCCCUAAUCCAUUAUGACUGCUGUCCUUCUAAGAGAAGAGACGUAAAGACAUCUAAGGAGAAAACCAUGUGACUACCCAGGCAGGAAUUGGACUCAUGAGUGGUAAGCCAAGAAACACCAAGGAUUGUUGGAAAUACCAGAAGCUAAGAGAAAGGCAUGGAAAAGAUUCUCCCUUAGAGCCUUCAGAGAGAGCAUGGCCCUGAAGACACCUUGAUUUCAGACUUCUAGCCUCCAAAACUGUUUGAGAGAAUAAACUUCUGUUGGUCAAAGCUG